CAAACGGUCCUUUUCAGGACCACCAAAGAGUUUCAAAAGAGUUAAAU
rfam:Aedes aegypti strain Liverpool supercont1.194 genomic scaffold, whole genome shotgun sequence.